UUAGGUUAGCGGCGGACGGGUGAGUAACACGUAGGCAACCUGCCUGUAAGACCGGGAUAACUUGCGGAAACGUGAGCUAAUACCGGAUAGCCGGUUUCUUCGCAUGAAGAAGUCAUGAAAGACGGGGCAACCUGUCACUUACAGAUGGGCCUGCGGCGCAUUAGCUAGUUGGUAGGGUAACGGCUUACCAAGGCGACGAUGCGUAGCCGACCUGAGAGGGUGAACGGCCACACUGGGACUGAGACACGGCCCAGACUCCUACGGGAGGCAGCAGUAGGGAAUCUUCCGCAAUGGACGAAAGUCUGACGGAGCAACGCCGCGUGAGUGAUGAAGGUUUUCGGAUCGUAAAGCUCUGUUGCCAAGGAAGAACGGCCAGGGGAGUAACUGCCCCUGGAGUGACGGUA
rnacentral:rRNA from 1 species